GACGAACGCUGGCGGCGUGCUUAACACAUGCAAGUCGAACGGAAAGGCCCUGCUUUUGUGGGGUGCUCGAGUGGCGAACGGGUGAGUAACACGUGAGUAACCUGCCCUUGACUUUGGGAUAACUUCAGGAAACUGGGGCUAAUACCGGAUAGGAGCUCCUGCUGCAUGGUGGGGGUUGGAAAGUUUCGGCGGCUGGGGAUGGACUCGCGGCUUAUCAGCUUGUUGGUGGGGUAGUGGCUUACCAAGGCUUUGACGGGUAGCCGGCCUGAGAGGGGGGCCGGCGACAUUGGGACUGAGAUACGGCCCAGACUCCUACGGGAGGCAGCAGUGGGAAAUAUUGCACAAUGGGCGGAAGCCUGAUGCAGCAACCCCGCGUGCGGGAUGACGGCCUUCGGGUUGUAAACCGCAUUCGCCUGUGACGAAGCGUGAGUGACGGUAAUGGGUAAAGAAGCACCGGCUAACUACGUG
rnacentral:rRNA from 1 species